AUUGAACGCUGGCGGCAGGCCUAACACAUGCAAGUCGAACGGUAACAAGAAGAAGCUUGCUUCUUUGCUGACGAGUGGCGGACGGGUGAGUAAUGUCUGGGAAACUGCCUGAUGGAGGGGGAUAACUACUGGAAACGGUAGCUAAUACCGCAUAACGUCGCAAGACCAAAGAGGGGGACCUUCGGGCCUCUUGCCAUCGGAUGUGCCCAGAUGGGAUUAGCUAGUAGGUGGGGUAACGGCUCACCUAGGCGACGAUCCCUAGCUGGUCUGAGAGGAUGACCAGCCACACUGGAACUGAGACACGGUCCAGACUCCUACGGGAGGCAGCAGUGGGGAAUAUUGCACAAUGGGCGCAAGCCUGAUGCAGCCAUGCCGCGUGUAUGAAGAAGGCCUUCGGGUUGUAAAGUACUUUCAGCGGGGAGGAAGGGAGUAAAGUUAAUACCUUUGCUCAUUGACGUUACCCGCAGAAGAAGCACCGGCUAACUCCGUG
rnacentral:rRNA from 1 species